UUCAUCGAUUUUUUUUAAUCCUAAUUAUUAUUAGAUAUUCUCCAUUAGAGUGUGGGGAUGAAUGUGUAGAAAAGCAGUGAUAAAAAUCUUUUUUUUUUCCAAAAUCAAAAGAGCGAUUGGGUUGAAAAAAUAAAGGAUUUCUAACCAUCUUGUUAUCCUAUAAUAAACAUAAACCGAUUUAAUUAGAUUUUCAUUAGAUGGAAAAAGAAAGGAUAAAGAGUCCGUUGAUAAGUCUUAUCUGUUUCCGGGGUAUCUAUCUAGUCUUUUCUUAAAUAUCCUGUUUUGACUGUAUCGUACUAUGUGUCAUUUAAUAACCCAAGAAAUCAAAUCCCCUAUCCCUGGUUUCAAUCUAAUUUUAAAUAAAUGGAGGAAUUAAAAGGAUAUUUAGAACUAGAUAGAUUUAGGCAACAUGACUUCCUAUACCCACUUAUCUUUCGGGAGUAUAUUUAUGCACUUGUUCAUGAUCAUGGUUUAAAUAGAUCUAUUUUGUUGGAAAAUGUAGCUUAUGAUAAUAAAUUUAGUUUACUGAUUGUAAAACGUUUAAUUACGCGAAUGUAUCAACAGAAUCAUUUGCUGAUUUCCACUAAUGAUUCUAACCAAAAUCCAUUUUUAGGAUACAACAAGAAUUUGUAUUCUCAAAUUAUAUCAGAAUAAUUUGCAGUCAUUGCGGAAAUUCCAUUUUCUUUACAAUUAAUAUCUUCCUUAGAAGGGCACAAAUCGUAAGAUCUUACAAUUUUCGAUCCAUUCAUUUAUUUCCUUUUUUAGAGGACAAAUUCCCACAUUUAAAUUAUGUGGCAGAUGUACUAAUACCUUACCCCAUCCAUCUGGAAAUCUUGAUUCAAACCCUUCGCUACCGGGUGAAAGAUGCCUCAUCUUUGCAUUUAUUGCGGUUCUUUCUUCAUGAGUAUUCGAAUUGGAAUAUUGUUAUUAUUCCAAAUAAAGCUAUUUCUUUUUUUUCAAAAAGUAAUUCAAGAUUAUUGUUAUUCUUAUAUAAUUCUCAUAUAUGUGAAUACGAAUCUAUCUUACUUUUUCUCCGUAAACAAUCUUCUCAUUUACGAUUAACAUCUUCUGGAGUCCUUUUUGAGCGAAUUUAUUUACAUAGAAAAAUAAUAAAACAUCUUGUCAAAGUCUUUGCUAAUGAUUUUCCGGGCAUGCUAUGUUUCCUGAAGGAUCCUUUCAUUCAUUAUGUUAGAUAUCAAGGAAAAUCAAUUCUGGCUUCAAAAGAUACGCCUCUUCUAAUGAAUAAAUGGAAAUACUACCUUGUCAAUUUAUGGGAAUGUCAUUUUUAUGUGUGGUUUCACUUGGAAAGAAUCUAUAUAAAUAAAUUAUCCAAGCAUUCCCUCGACUUUUUGGGUUAUUUUUCAAGUGUGCGACUAAAUACUUCAAUGGUGCGGAGUCAAAUGCUAGAAAAUUCAUUUAUAAUAAAUAAUGCUCCCAAGAAGCUCGAUACGAUAGUUUCAAUUAUUCCUCUGAUUGGAUCAUUGGCUAAAGCGAAAUUUUGUAAUGCAUUAGGGCAUCCCAUUAGUAAGCUGACUCGGGCCGAUUUAUUGGAUUUUGAUAUUCUCAAUCGAUUUCUGCGUAUAUGCAGAAAUCUUUCUCAUUAUUACAGCGGAUCCUCAAAAAAAAAAGAGUAUGUAUCGAAUAAAAUAUAUACUUCGACUUUCGUGUGUUAAAACUUUGGCUCGUAAACACAAAAGUAUUGUACGCGCUUUUUU